rnacentral:rRNA from 1 species
UAGUGGGGGAUAACCCGGCGAAAGCCGGACUAAUACCGCAUACGACCUACGGGUGAAAGCGGGGGAUCGCAAGACCUCGCGCUAUUGGAGCGGCCGAUGGCAGAUUAGCUUGUUGGUGGGGUAAAGGCCUACCAAGGCGACGAUCUGUAGCUGGUCUGAGAGGACGACCAGCACACUGGGACUGAGACACGGCCCAGACUCCUACGGGAGGCAGCAGUGGGGAAUUUUGGACAAUGGGCGCAAGCCUGAUCCAGCCAUGCCGCGUGCGGGAAGAAGGCCUUCGGGUUGUAAACCGCUUUUGUCAGGGAAGAAACGCACCGAUCUAAUACAACGGUGUAAUGACGGUACCUGAAGAAUAAGCACCGGCUAACUACGUGCCAGCAGCCGCGGUAAUACGUAGGGUGCAAGCGUUAAUCGGAAUUACUGGGCGUAAAGCGUGCGCAGGCGGCUUUGCAAGACAGAUGUGAAAUCCCCGGGCUUAACCUGGGAACUGCAUU